rnacentral:rRNA from 1 species
GCGGUAAUACGUAGGGUGCGAGCGUUAAUCGGAAUUACUGGGCGUAAAGCGUGCGCAGGCGGCGGCAUAAGACAGAUGUAAAAUCCCCGGGCUCAACCUGGGAACUGCGUUUGUGAUUGUGUUGUUAGAGUGUAGCAGAGGGGGGUGGAAUUCCACGUGUAGCAGUGAAAUGCGUAGAGAUGUGGAGGAACACCGAUGGCGAAGGCAGCCCCAUGGGUUAACACUGACGCUCAUGCACGAAAGCGUGGGGGGCAAACAGGAUUAGAUACCCUGGUAGUCCACGCCCUAAACGAUGCCAACUAGGUGUUGGGGGAGGAGACUUCCUUAGUACCGUAGCUAACGCGUGAAGUUGGCCGCCUGGGGAGUGCGGUCGCAAGAUUAAAACUCAAAGGAAUUGACUGAAGGGCGAAUU